UAACCGGGAUUGGUUUGCAUUUUUCUCUUUAAUUAAUUUGGACCAAACCAAUUUCAUUCUUUUUUGGUUUAACCAAAACGUGCAUAUGUAUAUAUAUAAAGCGUAUGCAUCUCCUUCUUUUCCCUACCCUAGCCGCACCAUCUCUUUUAAUGACGAUCAAAGGAAGAAGCCACUAUCAUCACUCGUUUGUUGCUGCAGCCAUCGUCUUUCACCACCAGAGGCACCACGCUCACCGGAGGUGAAGUCCCUACCAUCACCUUCUUUAUUCUAUCCCAUGAUGUGGAGAAGAGUUGAAUCCAAACCGGAGCCGUCGCGUUCAUUUCCGUUCAUCACCACCACAUCGCCUUCAAUCAAGUCAUUACCGGAGAUCAGCCUCAUCAUUGAUGGUGUCACGUACCAGAUCCGGGGAAUGGAGAACAUGAACAUAACCGGAGCCACCACCUACCUAACGUUAUCUCAUGCGUGAUGUUUAAGUGCCUUUCUUUUUAUUACUUGAGCAACAAGUAAUCAUUUUCAUAAUUCCUAGAUCUAAUCAGCUUAUUUUCUUUUGUAUUUAUUCGUCCUUCUCGGGAUGCUGAUGUGAGAUAUUCAUGACUCCAUUAUGUCAUCUUGCUCCAUGUUGUGGUUAUGGCUCGUAUCUCGGGUUGUGUUCUUUGGUUAAGCUUGUACCAGUUUCUGUUCAACUCUAAACCAGUGGCUAAGGUGAGCUUGACGAGUAGUCGGAUAUCUGGACGGACGGUGUCUUGGGAUUGUCGUAUUUUAUUUCGAUUUUCAACUCUACUUAUUUGACAUAUUUUUUUAUGAUUAAAUUUAAAGAUGUAUUUCUUUUGGAUAUAAUUUAUUAAAUAUUUUAAUAUUUUUUUGGUUUUGGAAUAAUUCGGUUUAAUUUGGUAUUUGUUUUGGUAAGUAGCACGCCGGUCUCGAGAGAGGAGGAGACGGCUGUUACAAUUGGUAUCAGAGCGGGGUUCCGUCCCGGCUCUGACCUGGGACGGCGAUUUAUGGGACUCGGAUUUCAGUGAUUUUUUCAAUGUUUUGGGAUUGGGAGUUUUGAAAAAAAAAAUUUGACACCUUCCUCUCGAGUAUCAUCCGGUUAUUGGUUAGCGUUUCUGAUUUUGUUUUCUUUUGCAGAAGAAGAUCAAGUUUAUGUUCGCUUUCUUUGUUCUCGUCUUGUGUCCUUUCUUUUGUAUCCGUUGAAGUUCUUUUCGGGUUCUGUUUUAGAAUUCGGGACGAAUUCCAAUUAAGUGGAGAAUAAUUGUAACGACCCGGUUUUCUUAACCGGGAUUGGUUUGCAUUUUUCUCUUUAAUUAAUUUGGACCAAACCAAUUUCAUUCUUUUUUGGUUUAACCAAAACGUGCAUAUGUAUAUAUAUAAAGCGUAUGCAUCUCCUUCUUUUCCCUACCCUAGCCGCACCAUCUCUUUUAAUGACGAUCAAAGGAAGAAGCCACUAUCAUCACUCGUUUGUUGCUGCAGCCAUCGUCUUUCACCACCAGAGGCACCACGCUCACCGGAGGUGAAGUCCCUACCAUCACCUUCUUUAUUCUAUCCCAUGAUGUGGAGAAGAGUUGAAUCCAAACCGGAGCCGUCGCGUUCAUUUCCGUUCAUCACCACCACAUCGCCUUCAAUCAAGUCAUUACCGGAGAUCAGCCUCAUCAUUGAUGGUGUCACGUACCAGAUCCGGGGAAUGGAGAACAUGAACAUAACCGGAGCCACCACCUACCUAACGUUAUCUCAUGCGUGAUGUUUAAGUGCCUUUCUUUUUAUUACUUGAGCAACAAGUAAUCAUUUUCAUAAUUCCUAGAUCUAAUCAGCUUAUUUUCUUUUGUAUUUAUUCGUCCUUCUCGGGAUGCUGAUGUGAGAUAUUCAUGACUCCAUUAUGUCAUCUUGCUCCAUGUUGUGGUUAUGGCUCGUAUCUCGGGUUGUGUUCUUUGGUUAAGCUUGUACCAGUUUCUGUUCAACUCUAAACCAGUGGCUAAGGUGAGCUUGACGAGUAGUCGGAUAUCUGGACGGACGGUGUCUUGGGAUUGUCGUAUUUUAUUUCGAUUUUCAACUCUACUUAUUUGACAUAUUUUUUUAUGAUUAAAUUUAAAGAUGUAUUUCUUUUGGAUAUAAUUUAUUAAAUAUUUUAAUAUUUUUUUGGUUUUGGAAUAAUUCGGUUUAAUUUGGUAUUUGUUUUGGUAAGUAGCACGCCGGUCUCGAGAGAGGAGGAGAC